rnacentral:rRNA from 1 species
AUUGAACGCUGGCGGCAUGCCUUACACAUGCAAGUCGAACGGUAACAGGUCUUCGGAUGCUGACGAGUGGCGAACGGGUGAGUAAUACAUCGGAACGUGCCUAGUAGUGGGGGAUAACUACUCGAAAGAGUGGCUAAUACCGCAUGAGAUCUACGGAUGAAAGCGAGGGAUCGAAAGACCUUGUGCUACUAGAGCGGACGGGGGAAGAUUAGGUAGUUGGUGGGAUAAAAGCGUACCAAGCCGACGAUCUUUAGCUGGUCUGAGAGGACCAUCAGGCAGACUUGGACUGAGAGACGACCCAUACACCUACGGGAGUCAGCAGUGGGGAAUUUUGGACAAUGGGGGAAAGCCUGAUCCAGCAAUGCCGCGGGCAGGAUGAAGGCCUUCGGGUUGUAAACUGCUUUUGUACGGAACGAAAAGCCCCGGGUUAAUACCCUGGGGUCAUGACGGUACCGUAAGAAUAAGCACCGGCUAACUACGUGCCAGCCGCCGCAGUAA